GAUGAACGCUGGCGGCGUGCCUAACACAUGCAAGUCGAACGAAGCACUUUAUUUGAUUUCCUUCGGGACUGAUUAUUUUGUGACUGAGUGGCGGACGGGUGAGUAACGCGUGGGUAACCUGCCUUGUACAGGGGGAUAACAGUUGGAAACGGCUGCUAAUACCGCAUAAGCGCACAGCAUCGCAUGAUGCAGUGUGAAAAACUCCGGUGGUAUAAGAUGGACCCGCGUUGGAUUAGCUAGUUGGUGAGGUAACGGCCCACCAAGGCGACGAUCCAUAGCCGACCUGAGAGGGUGACCGGCCACAUUGGGACUGAGACACGGCCCAAACUCCUACGGGAGGCAGCAGUGGGGAAUAUUGCACAAUGGGCGAAAGCCUGAUGCAGCGACGCCGCGUGAGCGAAGAAGUAUUUCGGUAUGUAAAGCUCUAUCAGCAGGGAAGAUAAUGACGGUACCUGACGAAGAAGCACCGGCUAAAUACGUG
rnacentral:rRNA from 1 species